ensembl:lncRNA
GGUGGAGGAGGGUGGAGGUGGUGGAGGGGCCGCAGCGGACACCACGGACCCCGCGGACGGAGCCUGGUUGUUUGCAAACAAGAUGCCUGAAGACAGCUGACUGAGGGAGGAGGGAACCGGAAGCAGGAAGCCGCCUGUUUUUCCUGGUCUCCACAAAGAUCGUCGAUUGAGAAUAAGAAGCGUCGAAACGUGGAACGCUCAGCUCUCACACCUGGAGCCGUUCUGCGCCUCGGAAUUACCCAGAAGGCCGUGCAACGUGCAGAGUGUUUUCAGCCGGUCAGGAGGAAAUAACGGAGGUAAUGAGCCUUCACUUCAAACCUUAUUACCCAGGAGCCUUUGCUGCGACCCGGCGCCCGACCAGGCGCCUGCUGCCGCACAGUUCAGUCUAACGGAGAGUGAGCGAUGAGACGUUCCCCCUCGCUCACCGGUUGAAACAACAACUCCUCCGAGAGGAAACGCAAAGUGAUUAAUUUGUCAAGAAAAUGAACUUAAUGAGAUUAAAAUGUUUCUGUAUCCUGAGGAGAAUAUUUUAUGGUCUAUCUGUGUGUGUGUGUGUGUGUGUGUGUGUGUGUGUGUGUGUGUGUGUGUGUGUGUGUGUGUGUGUUGGGCAGAUUUAAUUUAAUGACUUUGUUCUGUGACGUGUGAGUGAGUGAAAGAGUGAAGGGAUGGAGAACUGUUGAUUCUAGCAAAGUGUGCAUGUUUAUGCAUUAAUAUAAAUGUAGAAUAAUAUGUUUAAUGAUCUAUUUUUCUUCUCCAGCCUGAAAAAAAUCUUUUAAAAUAAUCAUAUUUUCUUUGAUUUCUCUGCUCAGACAAAAACCUAACAUUGCGAUUGUCUUACGUCUGUGAGAUUGUUCCUUUCCACAUUGUGACGCACACGAACCUACGACGGCGUAUCAGGGCCAUUGUAGGAAAAAUCAUAUAUUUUAUGGAGGAGGGUAAUAUUUUAUGCAGGAGGAGGGUAAUAUUCUGAGAAAAAAACACAGAAUUUCUGAGAUUAACGUCGUAAAUUCCUGAGAUUUUUUUUUUGAAUAUUCUCUGAGAUUAAAAUUGUAAAUAUACGAGAAAAAAAGUCGCAAAAAUUUAAGUUUUUCGUGUUUUCAGUUUGGUCCGAAAAUACACAAAAUUGCCCUGAAUGGCCCCUCGGACUCACACGUGCAGACUCGCGGAUGGACGCUCCCUGUGCGUCACCUCACACGUGAUCGUGAGCCAAAGGCCGAUUUGACCUUAACGACCUGCUCAGUCCGCACGCAAGGUCACAGCGUUUUCUAUCUUCAGUAAUUAACACGAGCGCGACGCCGUUAGCGCGGCUUCUAACGACAGGAGCGCCGACCGAGCUUUAUGACUUUGUCGCUCAUCGGGGGGAUGAAACGAUUGUGUCCACAGGCCGCGACGCUCGCCUCCAUCAAAUCAGGAUGUGGCGACUGAACACAGUUUCGCCGCGCGGAGAUUAAUAAACCUGAUUUGUGGCUGUGGGACAUCAAGUGAAGAGCCAAUAAUCCCAGUAAUAAACGGGGUUUUGAUAGUGACGUCAUCAGCUCAUGUUUACGGCCCCGAACACUAUUUUUCUUCUUCUAAAGUUGUAUAAAUAAGACGUUUUCAGAAAAACAACUCCAGAAACACUUUGCAGAGUUUGCAUUUUACAGUUUGUACUCAUCCUGAGUCUCGUUUUCUUGUUUCCACCUCAUCUUCUCUGCUCUCCUCACUUCCUGGACUCGUUUCCUCUCCUCCUCUUCUCUCCCAGAUGUGGGUCACCAUCACCAUCACCAUCACCAUCACUUCCAAUCUAACACUGGUGGAAUAGCUUGUAACUGCUGUUUAAUCUCGACACCACGCUGGUUGAAAAGCAGCUGUGUGUGUGUGUGUGUGUGUGUGUGUGUGUGUGUGUGUGUGUGUGUGUGUGUGUGUGUGUGUGUGUGUGUGUGUGUGUGUGUUAAAACAGGCACCAUCUAUAUGAGGUAAACCCCUCCGUCCCCUAACAUCUCGACCUCUCCGCUCCCUGAUGGAUCUCAGAUGCGAUCAUCCGGAGGGCGAGGGCAGGCCGGUGAACGGGAUGUGGCGGUGACGAGCGGCAGCGGCAGUAGGGUAAGACAGGAUCAGCCCCCCGCAGGAUGUUAUCACUAAAGAGCAUCAGCGGGGAAGGGUCUUAGCGUCGCGCAGAGCCACGGCCUGUGGCGGCGACUCCCAGAGCUCCGAGAGGACGGGAGGACAUGCGACGACCGGGGUUCAGAUACAAUGUGACGGCUGCUGCAGAGACGUCUGUGUGUGUGAAGAAAAAACAUUUCAAUUGUUUUACUGUUUAAAGGGGCAGUGAGUGAUUUUAAUCCAACACACUUUUCGUCGUGCUCCCUCACCCGAGGUUGAGGGUUCGAGUUCCGACCAGAAAACUAUCUUUCUCCAA